CAGUGCUUGUCUUAGGACACUAAGCUUGUCCUUGGGAAACCAUCAAUUUAUGUCGGCGAAGUGGUUCCCCCUCUAACGCUGACCUAUAUCAAGAUCAACUCAACGAGAUCUGCAAUAUUUAAUAUAGACAUAUGCAUCGACAACCACCCUUUUAAAGUUUUUAUAAAUAGAAAGGAAGAGGGGGUUGGAGAUCUCGAAUGUGGUGAUGUUGGAGAGACCAA
rnacentral:lncRNA from 1 species